CUGGUUGAUCCUGCCUGAACUGAUGUGCUUAUCUCAAAGAUUAAGCCAUGCAUGUCUAAGUAUAAACGAUUUAAUCGUGAAACCGCGAAUGGCUCAUUAUAACAGCUAUAAUUUACUUGAUCUUGACACAAUCCUACUUGGAUAACUGUGGUAAUUCUAGAGCUAAUACAUGCAUUAAAGCUCUGACCUCACGGGAAGAGUGCAUUUAUUAGAACAAAACCAAGCGGCUUCGGCUGUUUCUGGUUGACUCAUAGUAACUGAGCUGAUCGCAUGGUCUUGCACCGGCGACGUGUCUUUCAAGUAUCUGCCGUAUCAACUUUCGAUGGUAGUGUAUCUGACUACCAUGGUGAUCACGCGUAACGGAGAAUAAGGGUUCGGCUCCGGAGAGUUCGCCUGAGAAAUCGCGAACACAUCUAAGGAAGGCAGCAGGCGCGAAAAUUACCCACUCUCAGCACGAGGAGGUAGUGACGAAAAAUAACGAGACCGUUCUCUUAUGAGGCCGGUCAUCGGAAUGGGUACAAUUUAAACCCUUUUAACGAGUAUCUAUGAGAGGGCAAGUCUGGU
rnacentral:rRNA from 1 species